GUGCCAGCCGCCGCGGUCAUACGGAGGGUGCAAGCGUUAAUCGGAAUUACUGGGCGUAAAGCGCGCGUAGGCGGUUUAGUAAGUCGGAUGUGAAAUCCCCGGGCUCAACCUGGGAAUUGCAUUCGAUACUGCUUAACUAGAGUAUGGUAGGGGGAAGUGGAAUUCCGGGUGUAGCGGUGAAAUGCGUAGAUAUCCGGAGGAACAUCAGUGGCGAAGGCGACUUCCUGGACCAAUACUGACGCUGAGGUGCGAAAGCGGGGGGAGCAAACAGGAUUAGAUACCCUUGUAGUCC
rnacentral:rRNA from 1 species